rnacentral:lncRNA from 1 species
ACAGUACCCCCCAAGUCUGCGGGAGUGAACGCUCCGUAUAUCCUGGAACGAAGCCGCAGGUGGACGCGGGACCGGUGCGUGGGAAUGCCCUGCCGCAAGAAGCCCCCGCCCCUGGCCCAGACUUCUGGAAGUGCCAGAGUCUUCCCUGGAAAGAGGGCAGGCUGACCCCUGGGCCCCCACCGCUGUCAGGACGGGUCAGCUGCCGGGUUGCAGGGCAUGCCGUUUUCUCUUCUCUGUCUGCACUGAUUCACACCGGGGUGGAAGCUCUCUGUGUCUUUCCCACUUGUUUCCAAAGAUGAAGGGGACGAGGUGAUGAAGGCUCCUGGGAGGUAAAGGUGGAGACAGCUGAGAAAAGCCACGCUGGGCCCACUCAGCAUGGUGGGGUCUACGGACACAGGUGUAGGGGCUGGAGCCCACCUCCUGUUUGUGCGAGGGGGACAGGCUGGCCAGGCUCCGGGAUUCUCUGUUGGCGGGGUCUACAUCUGUGGAGGCUGUGCCUGGGGGUGGCAGCCUGCUGAGGUGGGCUGAGCCAAAGGGUGGCCUCUCCACUGCGCAUUUGCCCUCAGAAACUGCCGCAGGGCAGGGUCUGAAGCAUGGCCUGGAGGGCCUGAUGGCAUCUCCCAGCCAGGUGCUCCCUCUUCACAACUUCAGGCCUGACCUCGGUCAGCUCCCUGGCUGCUGGGAGAGGCCUGUUGAGUUGCCUGUCCUACUCAGAGUCUUGGGGUAUGGCUGGGUGGGUCCCCACCCCACUGUGGCCGGGGGGGGGGGGGGGGGCCCCGCGCGGGCGACGGGGGGGGCCCCGCCUCCCUCCUCCCCAGUGGCCCAUCACGACCUGGACAACACACUCAACUGCAGCUUCCUGGAGCCGCCCUCGGGGCUGGAGCAGCCCUCACCAUCAUGGUCCUCCCGGGCCUCCUUCUCCUCCUUUGAUACCACGGAUGAAGGCCCCGUGUACUGCGUACCCCACGAGGAGGCGGCCGCCGAGAGCCGGGAUUCG